UCGCCAUAUCGAUCCACAUGCCCAAUCCUGAUACGAUGCCACUACGGUCUCACCUGCACUACAACACCUGUGCACCUCCACACACCGCGCAAUCGUGCAUGCCUCCGUCUAGUCGUGAUCGGACAAAGAGAGUUGACAGGAAAAAAAAAAAGGCAAAAGCCAGCGAGCGCGGUGCGACGGCGCAUGCAUGCACCCGCGCGCGCGGCCCGCCGCGCGAUGGCCCGCAUCGCAUAUACAUCGGCGGAUUCGCGGCUCGCCAUCCCGUCGGCAAGCUUGGUGACGACGCCUCCUCCACGCGCACACGCGCGCGAUCUGCCCGAUCUGGUGCGUGGGUGUGCACUUGCGAUGGAUGGCGACUUUGCCUUGGCUUCGCCAUAGGCUCGGCCGUUUCUGUUGGCAUUGCCUACGAUCGAGAGCGGUGGCUUCAAGCCACGACGCGCGUACGUCGUGUGCGUAUCGAUCCAGCCAGCCUUCACUACUUGCCCAUGCCUUUCUGGUGCCUCACCAACUCGACACAGCCUCUGACAAGUGGCUAUCUCGAUAGCCGGCUCGCACUGUGCUACUGCCUACUACUCCUAGCUCGCAUAGGAUUCCUCGGCGACGGCGGCGUGCGGUUGCAAGCAAAGCUCUCGGUUCAUGGCGAACAACUCCAACUGCUGCGGGUUCAUGGCGAACAACUCCAACUGCUGCGGGUUCAUGGCGACGUACACCUUUUUCUCGAUAGCUCGUUCGUGCUUGGCUGUCGCUGUUGCAGUUUCUGCUACUCCAAGAAGAGAGAGGCCCUUGCAUCAAGCUUGGAAUCCUAAACCGGGCAGCGAAGCAAGCAACAAUCAACAAUUAAGAAGUGCAUGCACGCUGGCUGUUCAGAGGCUGAUGAGCUGGGUGCAAAGUUAAAGAUUUGUCAGUGGGACUCACCUGCGGCGCUGACAGGCCUCGCGUACCAACAAAACUUUUGUGGUGAUCUUCCCGGUAACCAUGCUCAGCUCAGACUGGUGGAUUAUUUUUCUUGCUCUGUUGCCUUGUUGGUCGCUGUUUCUGAAAGUUGUAUAGAAAUCUAUCCAUACAUCUAUUUUUUUUUACUAAUUCACCGGGGGAGAGUUUCCCCACCUGAAUAUAUUGCAUCAAACGAAAGUACACAGGGCAGGUUUCACCCGCACAAGCGCAAGAAUCCUAGAAGAUAGUAGCAGAAGAUACACGGGGAGUACAAAGAAGAUAAUACAAAAGAGAGGCGACCCUCCGAAGAUGAGAGUAGGGACCGGGUGCAAGCACAAGUUCACAUGAUUUUUAGCAGCUAGUGGCAUGAACAAAAGUGGGGUUUUCUUUCCUCCAUCCAUCAUAUGGAGGAGUUGGCUGGCCACUAGCCGGUGCCUUUUGAUGGCGAAGUGGUCACUCCUCAGUAGAAACUUUCUCCAGCUGGUCACUCCUCAGUAUGCAGACAAGCAAAGCUUCAGAAAACACUUCAUGUUGCUUGGUAAUGAGCUUAUAUGUGACAGUAAUACAACAUGGGCAUCCGGCGUCAUUGUGGCCUUCAAACACAAGCAUAUCAUGUGUGGUGUCUCCAUCAUCUGUUCUUUUGUGUAAAUUAUCCCCUGCUUUGGACCCCAAGCAUCCGAUUUAUUUUAUUAGGGGGGGAAUUAUGUGGUUUGUGAUGUCACUAAAUCACUAAUGACUGGAAUGUGGUGCCAUCUGUCCUCUUGGCUUUGACUUCUCCAUGUGGCUAGGUUGCACCAUCUCAAUGGGCCCAUGCAAUCUAA